GAUGAGCGCUAGCGGCAGGCCUAAUACAUGCAAGUCGAACGGGAUCCAGAUCAAAGCUUGCUUUGGUCUGGUGAGAGUGGCGCACGGGUGCGUAACGCGUGAGCAACCUACCCUUGUCAGGGGGAUAGCCCGGCGAAAGUCGGAUUAAUACCGCAUGACAUCAUUGAGAGGCAUCUUUCGAUGAUCAAAGAUUUAUCGGACAAGGAUGGGCUCGCGUGACAUUAGCUAGUUGGUAAGGUAACGGCUUACCAAGGCUGCGAUGUCUAGGGGCUCUGAGAGGAGAAUCCCCCACACUGGUACUGAGACACGGACCAGACUCCUACGGGAGGCAGCAGUAAGGAAUAUUGGUCAAUGGACGGAAGUCUGAACCAGCCAUGCCGCGUGCAGGAAGACGGCCCUAUGGGUUGUAAACUGCUUUUAUACGGGAACAAACGUCGGUACGUGUACCGGUCUGAGUGUACCGUAAGAAUAAGGAUCGGCUAACUCCGUG
rnacentral:rRNA from 1 species